rnacentral:tRNA from 1 species
AAGACAUUAGUAAAAUGCAAAUUACACCACCUUGUCAAGGUGAAAUUACAGGUUAAAUCCCUGUAUGUCUUA